CGGCCGCGUCGACCGCGCAUCUGCUAGGAUGCUGGCGUAAUGGCUGUAAGCGGCCCGUCUUGUAACACGGACCAAGGAGUCUAACAUCUAUGCGAGUGUUUGGGUGUCAAAGCCCCGGAGCGUACGUAAGUAGUAAGUACGGAACGGGUAGGGUACCGGGACCCGACGGUAAGGGGUCGACCAACCUACGUCCCGGAACCGUACCGUUCCGUAGUAGGUUCGUUUCCGGUUAACGGGGAAGGUUUAAGUUUGGUAAAGGUAAAGGCGACUAGGUCGGUCGUUUGGGGUUACCCGGGAAACCCGGAAAGUAGGUUGGUAACGUAACUUAGUCGUCGUUAAGUAAAGGGUUAGGGUAGAACCGACGAAGGAAACGGUAACUCGGUGGGUAGGGACGGUCCGUCGACGACGGUUCCGUUCGUACGGUACGUACGAACUAACGUCGUACGUUACGGUAACUUAAGGGUUCGGGACUAAGGGGGUACGGGAAACGAAACGUAACUUAACGUACCGUAACUUACGUACGUUAAGGUCGUCGGUUCCGGUUCGUACGUACCGGUUUACCGUUCCAGGAGUAGUACGACGUUAAACGUUAACGUUACUUACGGUUUAAGUUUAGAGGGUAAAGGUAACCGAGUUAAGUAGGUUAACGGUUACGGGACCCGGGUUCGGGGUUUAAGGGGUAAACCAAAACCCUUUACCGUUACCGUAACGUUUACGUUACCGUAAAACGUUUAAAAACGUUUAAUAGGUUAAGUAAACGUACCUUUCGUUUAAGUUUAACUUAGGUACGGUACGGUACGACGUUAGGUAAGUAAGUAACCGGUUAAAGUUUGUACGGGUCGGUAACUUUUAGGGUUAGAACCG
rnacentral:rRNA from 1 species